rnacentral:siRNA from 1 species
ACCGGGUCAUCGGGUCAACCGGGU